rnacentral:lncRNA from 1 species
GCUACAUUAGCUAAUCAAGCAUUUAUUUAUUUAUUAAUUUACUUAGACUGCUACCAAAAAUGCAGAGAGAGAGAGAAAAAAAAAAAAAAAAGAAAGAGAUGAUAGAAACCAUCCGUGACUCCAGGAAUCUUUAAUUAGUAGCAAAAGAAUGAUCAGUAGUCAGUGUCUCCACAACUAUUUGAAUAAAAACAGAACUAGGAAAAAAAGAUUUCUGAACAGAAAUAAUUUCAUCCCAAUAAUUAGUCAAAGUUUCAGGGUGUCAAGCACAAGAAUCGAUCUACUGAGGAAGCCAGUCAGUCUCUCCCUGCAGUCAGCGAAGAGGGAGGAGAUCUCUCCAAGAUCAGUCAUCCUUAUCCCCAACACGGCUACCUGAAAUAGCCUUGCAGGUGAGAACUAUUGUCCUCUGUACAAAAAGGACUUAGACAAGGCAGGUGCACAGCCCUGUACUGCAGCUCAGACGAGUGAUUGUACAGCAGUAUCAAGGAGGUACAGCCAGUGCAGCACAGCUGAGAGCUAAGCACAUGUACAGCAUGGCCCUGGUGGGUUUCUGCAUGGGUUGAGAGCUCCUUUCUCAGUGAGGGCAGGUUGCAGGCUCAGCAAGGAUGUGGUGGCUGGGACAUGAAACAGAUGCUCGCCUGUUGUUUGACCCAGAGAACACGCUUCAAUUACAGUGCUUAUUAUGGGGAACUAACAUUUCCCUUGCCAGCCUGGUAAAUCUGCUUUCACUCAGAGUGUGCACUUGAUGAAACUAUUUGUCCUGUAAUGAAUACCAAUUUAAAGUUCUCAUUCUAACUUUUGCACACCCUAAUGUGUGGCUUUUUACUGUGUCUAGGCUAAAAGCAUCUCUUUGCAGCAGCAAAGACCAAAGUGUUCUCAUCCUGGAAGUGGGGUUCUUGGCCCCCCUGGUAAUGAAACCAAAAUUGACAUUAUUUGUUUUGUGAUCAUGCCUCUAGGCCUCAAUCAAAAAAGACACAAGAGAACAGAUGGAUGCAAGUACGCGGGGGAAACAGAAGACAAAACAUUUAUUGAUUUAGUAAGCAUCAGCCACAGUGCACCAGCUGCUCAGGUAUUAAAUAUUUUGUAGGCAGCAUUGUAUAGAUAUAAAAAUCAUAAUAAUUGUUGUUAUAAAUUAGCAUAUAUGAAAGAAAGAAAGAUUUUUUCUUGCUGUUGUACCAUGAGACUGGAAAAUGUGGCCAUUAAAUGCAAGCACCUCUGUAAGUAUAAUCAGCUAUUCUUCAGCUGCAAACAUUACAUUAUCCUACACUGAGUUGAAGUUGAUGGUUGUGUUCUCAUUUAGAAGCUGAUAAAUAUCAUAUUUGAAUUUUGUGACAAGUGUGUCUGCAGUACAUAACUUGUUUAAUUUGCAACAUUGGCUAAUUCUACAUCUGUUCAGAUAUCUAAAAUGUUCUGAAAACACCCCUCCCAAAAAUGUCCAGAAGCAUUUUAAAGAGGCACUGAUGGUGAAAUAAACAAAGAGGAAAAUAUGAUGAUGAAUUUUGU